rnacentral:rRNA from 1 species
AUUGAACGCUGGCGGCGUGCUUAACACAUGCAAGUCGUGCGGUAACAGGCGUAGCAAUACGUGCUGACGAGCGGCGAACGGGUGCGUAAUACAUGGGAAUCUGCCCUUUAGUGGGGAAUAACCCGGCGAAAGCCGGGCUAAUGCCGCAUAAGAUCUUCGGAUGAAAGCGGGGGGAUCGUAAGACCUCGCGCUGAUGGAUGACGCCCAUGUCGGAUUAGCAGUUGGUGAGGUAAAGGCUCACCAAGGCGACGAUCCGUAGCUGGUCUGAGAGGACGGCCAGCCACACUGGGACUGAGACACGGCCCA